GGGGGAUAUUGCACAAUGGAGGAAACUCUGAUGCAGCAACGCCGCGUGAGGGAAGAAGGUCUUCGGAUUGUAAACCUUUGUCCUUGGUGACGAAACAAAUGACGGUAGCCAAGGAGGAAGCUCCGGCUAACUACGUGCCAGCAGCCGCGGCAAUACGUAGGGAGCAAGCGUUGUCCGGAUUUACUGGGUGUAAAGGGUGCGUAGGCGGCUCUGCAAGUCAGGCGUGAAAACUAUGGGCUUAACCCAUAGACUGCGUUUGAAACUGCGGGGCUUGAGUGAAGUAGAUGUAGGCGGAAUUCCCGGUGUAGCGGUGAGAUGCGUAGGGAUCGGGAGGAACACCAGUGGCGAAGGCGGCCUACUGGGCUUUAACUGACGCUGAAGCACGAAAGCAUGGGUAGCAAAC
rnacentral:rRNA from 1 species